AGUGAGGAUAGAGGUGCAAAAACCAAUAGUACGCUGUCGUAGGAUGAUGAGAUCUGUUGAUGGCAGCCGAAAGGGGAAUUUGCCGAAGUGGGUGGAAACUCAUCGUUUCGCACCACUGGUUCUGUAUUCAAUAAAUACAGAGCUGUCAUAUAACUUUUAGUUAUAUGGAGGGCUAUCUCACGC
rnacentral:ncRNA from 1 species